UGUACUGUACUUAUAUAAUUAGGAAUGUUUUCUUUGUUAGGCUUGUAGUAUACAUUAUACUGAAGUUCCAGAGACUUGGCACAAUAAAUUGGCAUUCAAAAAUGUUUUCUGCUAACCCUGUAAGUCAAAUCCCUCUUCUUUCAAAAACUAUAUAAAUUAGAUCUUGAGAUCAAAUGUUUUGCAUUAUAUCAGGGUAUUACCAUCAGUAUUGUAAUGUUUUUUUAACCAUAUAUAAAUAUAGCUUACAUUGCUAGAUUUAUAACUCAAUAAUAUUUAUUUGCUAUAUAUAGUUAGACCACUUUUUCAUGUUCAUUAUAUGGUCAUGUAUGCAUUAAACAGUGUUUACAUAAAUACACAUGUAUAUAUAUUUUUGAAAGCUAGUUUUGCGCGAGAAUGAAAAUGUCUAUUCCUUGGUUUUAUGACCUCUGGGAAAUUCAGAAAGUAAAAAUGCUAGGAAUGUGUACUUGCAAGAUGAUGCACCAAUAGAGCAAGAUGAUGUACCAACAGAGCAAGAUGAUGCACCAACAGAGCAAGUUGAUGAACAAAUAGACCAAGAUGAUACACAAACAGACCAAGAUGAAUGGAAACCAUUCUCUUCAAAAGCACAUUUUUACCUAUGUGUUUUAAGUGGUUCAAAAACUCACCAUGUUAGUGAUGAAAUUUUGAAAUUCAUUAUAUAUAUGAUGAAGAGUUGUGGCACACCAGGAGUUCCUUCUUUCGAAAAAGUGAAGAACAUUUGGUCGGAUGAUUUGGACAUUGAUAAAAUGCUGAAAAAGAAUACAGACAAGGAUGGAAAUAUUAGCUGGAUGAUCAAGCCUAUGGAAAUUUUAAAACUGCAAAUUUCCAAUCCUAAAACAGCAAAGAAAAUAGCCAGAUAUCCAACAGUUGAAACAACUAUU